UACGGAGGGUGCAAGCGUUAAUCGGAAUUAUUGGGCGUAAAGCGUGCGUAGGCGGUUUGUUAAGUCCGUUGUGAAAGCCCCGAGCUCAACUUGGGAAUUGCAGUGGAUACUGGCAGGCUGGAGUACGGUAGAGGAAGGUGGAAUUCCCGGUGUAGCAGUGAAAUGCGUAGAUAUCGGGAGGAACACCUGUGGCGAAAGCGGCGCACUGGACCGCAACUGACGCUGAGGCGCGAAAGCUAGGGGAGCAAACAGG
rnacentral:rRNA from 1 species